rnacentral:tRNA from 1 species
AUAUAGCUUAAAGGUAGAGCAUUCCAUAUUUAAUGGAAAGGUAUGGGUUCGAGUCCCAUUUUAA